rnacentral:rRNA from 1 species
GGCCUAACACAUGCAAGUCGAGCGGAUGAGAAGAGCUUGCUCUUCGAUUCAGCGGCGGACGGGUGAGUAAUGCCUAGGAAUCUGCCUGGUAGUGGGGGACAACGUUUCGAAAGGAACGCUAAUACCGCAUACGUCCUACGGGAGAAAGCAGGGGACCUUCGGGCCUUGCGCUAUCAGAUGAGCCUAGGUCGGAUUAGCUAGUUGGUGAGGUAAUGGCUCACCAAGGCGACGAUCCGUAACUGGUCUGAGAGGAUGAUCAGUCACACUGGAACUGAGACACGGUCCAGACUCCUACGGGAGGCAGCAGUGGGGAAUAUUGGACAAUGGGGGGAACCCUGAUCCAGCCAUGCCGCGUGUGUGAAGAAGGCCUUAUGGUUGUAAAGCACUUUAAGCGAGGAGGAGGCUCUCUUGGUUAAUACCCAAGAUGAGUGGACGUUACUCGCAGAAUAA